GUCCACGCCCUAAACGAUGUCUACUAGUUGUCGGGUCUUAAUUGACUUGGUAACGCAGCUAACGCGUGAAGUAGACCGCCUGGGGAGUACGGUCGCAAGAUUAAAACUCAAAGGAAUUGACGGGGACCCGCACAAGCGGUGGAUGAUGUGGAUUAAUUCGAUGCAACGCGAAAACCUUACCUACCCUUGACAUGGCUGGAAUCCUCGAGAGAUUGGGGAGUGCUCGAAAGAGAACCAGUACACAGGUGCUGCAUGGCUGUCGU
rnacentral:rRNA from 1 species